rnacentral:lncRNA from 1 species
GAUACUAAAUUCUCAAGUGCAACAAGAUUUCUUUCUCCUCUGCCGUUUUACUCUGGAUUGAAGCCAACCAAGUCAUCAAGAUGGACGGAGUAAUACACUAGUACAUAGGAUUUUUGUGGCUGGCUUUUUCCCUGCAGAAUAAUGGAAUUGUGUUCUUGGUGAUGUCUGAAAGAUAUGUGGCUUUGGAGGAUUAUGAAAUGCACAAGAAAGGAAUGAAAUCAGGAUGUUUUUCUCAAGAUCAUACCAUUUGCAAAGGUAUUCAGUAAUUUUGGAAAUUUAUAUAAGGUAAGGGAUUUAUAAACUUCGUUCUUUAUGUAGAUUUAGGGAUUUCUAGUUACCAGGCUGGCUUUCAGUUCUAAUUCUGCCUCAGGCUUGGUUUUGCCUCAGACUUCUUCUGAUGUGUAGGAAUAACUUUGAGGAGAUACAGCAACUGGUUAUCAGUGUUACCAAACCUU